rnacentral:pre_miRNA from 8 species
UCCUCGCUUUAGCAGCACGUAAAUAUUGGUGUGUUAUAGUCAAGGCCAACCCCAAUAUUAUGUGUGCUGCUUCAGUAAGGC